UGCCUGCCUGCCUGCCUGCCUGCCUGCAUUGUCUAAAACUGUCACCAUUUUCAGCCAAUACCUUCAGCUGAACCGCAGCUUCUCUAUCCGAUCACCACAUCCCAAGAAGCCAUCCGGAAAAGGGUGGAUUUGACAGCUCGCAGAGGGUGGACUGAAGUUAUACAAACAUUCCUUGAAGGCAGAGCUACUUUGGAGGCAGAAAUGAUGUUGCUGCUUGAGUUAAACCUCAAUGGAUGGAAGCAAAGAACUGCAAAGUGUCAAAGGGGGAAAACGCGACUGAAAACUCAACCACUUUCUUCCCUCUAAGAAUCCUAGAUGACCUGAAAGCAAUGACUGGAGCGGACCUGAGUGGGGCUGGCCCGACCACCCAGUCAAGUGGAUGACGCUUCAGGGAACGAGUGAAGCCACGGUGGAAAGCUAGCCUAAGCUCAUUUGCAGCAUGUAAGGCCUACAUCCUUUCUUGAGUGGCAACCAAGGGAUUCAGUGCAUGUAGUGACCUGUUAGUAGCUGGUACAGGUAAUUAAAUCCCCUAGGCCUAAAAAAAUCAUUUUAUCAAUACUACCUGUGCCAGACCAAAUUGUGGGGGUAGCCCUUUGACUAAAAUAUUGAUUAGUGCAGGUGUAAAGGCUACUUUGGCAUGACCGCUAUGCCUCAAAACAAUGUGAGCAUUAUAACUGCCAAUACAUCGCAACAAAUUUAUCGCAAGUUUUAGUUUACUUUCAUAACACUGCACACAUUACUACACCUUAGUUUUAUACUUCAUAUAACACGACUGUACAACUAUAUUUGAGGUGUUUCUAUUAAGGUAGUAUUGACUGCACAUCAUUAUUUUGCCAAAAUUCAGAGUGAACCCAGAUUCUACAGGGCUGAGCUUGCAUUGGCUUCAGAUACGAGUACACCUCUGUCUGCUCAUUUCUGCUGAUGUGUGUAACCAGACUUGUAUGCAGAAAUACCACUUGAAUUCUCUUGUGCACACUAACAAUAAAGUUAUCUCUCUAAAAUCAGUUGCUUUUCAUAGAGUGUGUGUCACUCUAAUUAGAUUUAAACAGCCAGUGUUAUAGCUAUAUUGCAUCAGUGUGAUAACAAUAGUGCCUAAACCAGGAAACAAUGCUGAUUUUCUGUGACCUUGUUAGGUGGGAAAUGCUCCUUAAAUAUCCAGAAGAUUCUAUGAAUAUUCAAAAAUUAAAAAAACAAAACACUGCUAACAUCCACUGGCUUUAGGUUAGUUACUUGUGCAAUGCAUGGAGUUAAACCCUUUCCGAUGUAACAUUGUCCCUAACAUAAUUCUAUUUUU